AUAACACAAAGGCACACUAUACCUAUACACAUCUGAAUACUUUUGGUCUCCGCCAUUUUUCGGCAAGCGAAUGAACGCUAUAGCGCUUUCACUGGAAAAUAACUUCUGGGAUUCGGAGCGCAAAACAUUUGAUUCAGAUCAGGCGUACUACUCUGGCUGUGACAUCAUCAUCCUGGGGAGGGACUUUGAGAGGAUUCAGAUCAUGCCAGGAGCCAAACACGGGAACAUCCAGAUUAUUGGUGAUGUGAGGAAGCAGUGAGGAAUCCGCUGUAUAGUGAUCAUGCUCUCUGCCCUUAACCUCUCAAAUCUGAAAAUAUACGCCAAUGAAUCUAAUUUUAUAUCAAGUAUGAAGAGAUCUGUA